ACAGACAAAACGCUUACAGUUAUUUUCAAGUAACUGGAGACAUUUUUGGAAGUGGAACUACAGAAACCGGUCUAUGAUCAGAGAACCUCGACUCUCCACGAACGUAAGAGAGCUGGUUGAGGCCUCUUCCAUACCAUAAGAUACGAUCGCACCUGCGAAUUCAGACACUGCAAUCAGCUUCACAUGUCAGGUGUUCGACGUUUCUCUUUAAGGUUCAUGUCAUCUCCAGUGUAGCGGUCUGAGUUGUUGGAGUACUU